UGGUGCUUGCUGGCUGUAACAGCAACUCCAUGUGGAAGGGCUCAGAUUUCCCGUGGAGCCGCUGUUAUCUGCGGAGGGACA
rfam:Scleropages formosus scaffold470, whole genome shotgun sequence.